AGUGAACGCUGGCGGUAGGCCUAACACAUGCAAGUCGAACGGCAGCACAGGAGAGCUUGCUCUCUGGGUGGCGAGUGGCGGACGGGUGCGGAAUACAGCGGAGUCUACUCUGUCGUGGGGGAUAACGUAGGGAAACUUACGCUAAUACCGCAUACGACCUACGGGUGAAAGCAGGGGACCUUCGGGCCUUGCGGCAUUGGAUGGGCCGAUGUCGGAUGAGCUAGUUGGCGGGGGAAAGGCCCACCAAGGCGACGAUCCGUAGCUGGUCUGAGAGGACGAUCAGCCACACUGGAACUGAGACACGGUCCAGACUCCUACGGGAGGCAGCAGUGGGGAAUAUUGGACAAUGGGCGCAAGCCUGAUCCAGCCAUACCGCGUGGGUGAAGAAGGCCUUCGGGUUGUAAAGCCCUUUUGUUGGGAAAGAAAUCCAGCUGGCUAAUACCCGGUUGGGAUGACGGUACCCAAAGAAUAAGCACCGGCUAACUUCGUGCCAGCCGCCGCCGUAA
rnacentral:rRNA from 1 species